UCUUCAUUCAGACCUUCAAACCAGUCAAUUCCACCAGCAACAACCUCCUUACCCCCCUACUUGAUCACAGCACCAUAGGAUUGAACAGUCAGAUUGUCACGAAAGCGUAGAAGGCAGGACUCAAACGCAGUCCUGGAGUUCAAGGAAACAAAAAGACUUCAAUAGUCAAAAUCCCCAAAAUCAAAAGGCCAAGGGGGCAAAACGCAGACGAGGACCAGGAACUCACAGGGUAGAACAUGCGACAAUGACGCAACAAGAGACACACAUGGCUUAAUAUAUACUGGGAAGGUGCAGGUGAUUGGACACAGGUGGAAACAAUCAGACAAUCACAGGGGAUGACAGGACAAGGCAGGAAGUGAAGUUACCCAGGGAGACAAGAAGCAGAAAACUACAAAAUAAGAAAGGAAACAAACACAAACCGUGACACAGAAGAUAAUAUGUUCAACAUGACAACAUGGACAACCAGCCACUCUCAACACACACACACACUCAUUAGUGCGAUGUACCUCCUACCAUUUCUAUUUGUCAGUGGGGCAGCUGGGGUGUUUCGUGACCUGGCCUGCAGACACAGGCAGGGACUGUCAGUGUGGAUUACAGUCUAAUGUUGAUCCCCCCCUAACUCCCAUUUAUCACCUCCUCUAGUACCCCAGAGAUACCCCUCCCUACUUUCUAAGAGACCACAGCAUAUUCUGUUUGAUGUAUCGUUCAACAGGUUUAAUCAUGUUUUUAUGUACGCACAUGAUAUCACUUUCAUUUCUGACUUGUCUUUAGGGCUUGUUAUUUUGAGUUUGGAUACAUAUUAUAAAGAGAAAAAAAUAUGUAUAUCACAAAAGAGGAUAAUAUGUGUUCCAUCAUGAAUAGAAAAAGAAUCUGUACGUUGGGAACCAAAAGGGUUUUUUCAUUUCUUCUCUUUUAGGGAUUAGGAUUAGGGAUUUUAUUUUAACUAGAGCAGCGUUCCCCAACCUUUUUUGCCUCACAGACCGGUUUCAUGUUAGUCACAGUCUUGAAGGUGCAACAGAUAAACCAGAUGGAACAACCGUCCGACGGGGGGGGGACUGGUACCAUGGGAUAACAGUUAGCUCUUCCUAUUUCGUUUUAUCUGCACUUUGAAGUGAAAGCUAGAUAUCAACAUUCCAGAUAGAUAACAACAUAAAAACUGCCGCUUUGCCAUGCAGUCUACACUUGUAGACGUAGGGAUCAUUAGUUCAGUGCCAAUUUUAUGUCAUUUACAUUUUAAUAUUUCUUUCUAAAAUGACAGUCAGACGGGGGGAACAUUUUUAAAGGGAAUGCUCAACACUGUGAAUUGACAUUUGAUCACACAUAUUAUGGUUUAAUGUAAAAAAGGAUAUGUAAAGAAAAUACAAACUUCACUAGUUAAUUGAGAAUUUAAAAGAUUUAGUGGAUGACAGAAAAUACUUUACAGCAACAGCUUGAAUUACUAUCACCACGUCAUGGUGCAUCUGAAUGCACCAUGCCACACAGGGAUGUACAGUAGACAGUGCAGGUGGAUAGCAAGGCCGCAGAUAAAAUCUGCACUCUUUCUUGCAGUCUCUAAAUCUUUUCGGCCAAGACACCGUAUUUAUUUUCUGUCAGAGACAUGUUAGUUGAUCACGUAGAGGAAAGGCCGGAUAUGGCCACAUCGGCUUUUGGGAAGUAGUUCUGCUGUUUUUCCACCAUCUAUGUCUAUGGUAGCUGCAGCCUACCAGUAAGCAAAGUAAUAUUUUGAGUGUUUUUCUUUCCUAUGGGGCGCAGGCGUGUUAAACUUAUUUUAGGUAGGGGGCCACUUACUGUCCACUUUGAAGUCAUGCAGGGGUUGGGGGGUUCACGGGCGCGGAACCUACCUAAAAAUGAGUUUAACACCCCUGCUCUAUAACAAGAGCUAAUUCAUCCAGACUUCCCACCUUGUCUUGCCUCGCCGUGAAUUACCGUCAUUACUGCCAAACAUUAUCCUUGGAAAAGUUAUUGCAUGAAUAUACAUGAAUUUGAAAGGAGGGUGCCCUUGCCGGCGAACUCGGUCACCUGUGCGCCUGUGUUUUUUAGCAUUCGUUUUUAGUUUUCGUGUUUCUAUUUUUUAUUCAUGAUCAUCAACGUGAUGACUGCACUUUGUUUUAUACUUUUCAUGAAAGCCGUCCAAACAUUGUAAGUUGGGAGCAAAACAGGCCCACUUUUCAUCCACUAUAGUCAGCAGGAGCUUCUUCAAGUGGACAGAACCCUGACUGGGAUUUUUUGGAUACAGAGGCGGGAUCCGAGUCGGGAACAGUCGGGGGGGUACAACCUGUGUUACCCUACUCUAAUAAGAGGGAUGAGCCAGUUCCGACAGAGCAGCCUGCUGUGUUUGACUGAGACCUGACUGUCUGACGGAAUAACGGAGUCCCAUUUGAAGAUAGCAGGAUUGUCACUUCACAGGAUGGACAGAGACCCAGCAAGUACUGGGAAAAAACAAGGUGGAGGCGUUUGCCUUUACGUGAAUGCCCGGUGUUAUCCUGGUCAUGUCACGGGAAGAAACCUUGGGAGAACGUCAGAGGAGGGAUCCCUCUCCCGGAAUGGACAGCCUACAAUGGAUGUCAUUAUAUUGGGAUGUUUUCAUCACAUGUUAAAUUAUUCUCAAACUGUCAUUGAAGCUAAUGUAAAUUGAAGGACAUAACUACAACGCUCUAAAUAAUUGAAGUGCCAUUAGCCUUUAAAUGUAAGUAUUAGUCACUGCUGGCUGCGAAAUGUAACCACACCUACCUCCUGGCAACGGCUGAAUAUACAGUGCUUUGUCACAGCUGCUAACUGAUGGUAUGUCUCCAGAGCUUGACCUCUCUAUACGAAAUGUGCACUGACCAUUUAAAUCCUGACCGUAAUAUGGUAAUGUCUUUGAAUGUUAGUGUAAAAUUGAUGUAAAGUAAGUUGUUAAAAACAACGCUUUUGUUGUGGUUUAAUUAAUUUUUCAAUUAUUCUCUAACUCACUGACUAUCUCUCUGACUCAAUGAGGACCCACACAUCCUCACAGACCAUGGACUUUCAGUAACACACUGAAUAUCUGGAUUCUUUGAUUCACAGAAUUAUUAGAGCACCAACACUCGAAUAAACCCAGCUCUUUCCGGAAAGACACCAACGACGUGAUGAUAC
ensembl:lncRNA